rnacentral:rRNA from 1 species
GCGAACAGAUAAGGAGCUUGCUCCUUUGACGUUAGCGGCGGACGGGUGAGUAACACGUGGGUAACCUACCUAUAAGACUGGGAUAACUUCGGGAAACCGGAGCUAAUACCGGAUAACAUUUGGAACCGCAUGGUUCUAAAGUGAAAGAUGGUUUUGCUAUCACUUAUAGAUGGACCCGCGCCGUAUUAGCUAGUUGGUAAGGUAACGGCUUACCAAGGCGACGAUACGUAGCCGACCUGAGAGGGUGAUCGGCCACACUGGAACUGAGACACGGUCCAGACUCCUACGGGAGGCAGCAGUAGGGAAUCUUCCGCAAUGGGCGAAAGCCUGACGGAGCAACGCCGCGUGAGUGAUGAAGGGUUUCGGCUCGUAAAACUCUGUUAUUAGGGAAGAACAAAUGUGUAAGUAACUGUGCACGUCUUGACGGUACCUAAUCAGAAAGCCACGGCUAACUACGUGCCAGCAGCCGCGGUAAU